rnacentral:tRNA from 1 species
GGAGAGGUGGCUGAGCUGGUCUAAGGCGCACGACUGGAAAUCGUGUAACGGCUAAUACCCGUUCAAGGGUUCGAAUCCCUUCCUCUCCGCCA